ACGGGAGGCAGCAGUGGGGGAUAUUGCACAAUGGGGGAAACCCUGAUGCAGCGACGCCGCGUGAGUGAUGAAGUAUUUCGGUAUGUAAAGCUCUAUCAGCAGGGAAGAAAAUGACGGUACCUGACUAAGAAGCUCCGGCUAAAUACGUGCCAGCAGCCGCGGUAGUACGUAUGGAGCAAGCGUUAUCCGGAUUUACUGGGUGUAAAGGGAGCGUAGACGGUUUGCCAAGUCUGAUGUGAAAGGUGGGGGCUCAACCCCCAAACUGCAUUGGAAACUGGUAGACUAGAGUGUCGGAGAGGUAAGUGGAAUUCCUAGUGUAGCGGUGAAAUGCGUAGAUAUUAGGAGGAACACCAGUGGCGAAGGCGGCUUACUGGACGAUAACUGACGUUGAGGCUCGAAAGCGUGGGGAGCAAACAGGAUUAGAUACCCUGGUA
rnacentral:rRNA from 1 species